CUAAAAGUAUUCUUCAAAAAUUCAAAAUCAUGGAUUGCAGAUAUUAUGUUUGCAGCUAGUUUAUUAUCCCGAUUCAUGCAAGAACCAAGUCAAGUGCAUUUUGGAGCUGCAAAGCGUGUUCUACGCUACUUGCAAGGAACAAUGGAUUAUGGGAUAACAUACAAAUUCGGUGGAGAUUUGAACUUAAUUAGUUAGAUAACAUGAAGAGUACUUCUGAUUAUGCUUUCUUAUUUGGAUCAAGUAUUUAUUCAUGGUAAUCAAAAAAGCAAAGUGUUGUUGCUUAAUCCGUUGCUUAAGCAGAAUAUGUUUCAACAUCCAAGGCUGCUUCUCAAGCUAUUUAGUUUAGGAGAACAUUUGAAGACAUUGGUGAAAAACAAAAAAAGAGGUUAUUGUUCUGUAUUGUGAUACAAAUAAGCAAUUGUAAUUGCCAAGAAUCCAGUCAUCCAUGAAAGAUCAAAGCAUAUUUCCAUCAAGUAUCGUUUUAUUUGAGAAGCAUAGGAGAAAGGCAAAAUUUAGUUGCAUUUUUGUUAGACAGGAGAACAACUUGCUGACAUCUUUACCAAAGCAUUUCCUACAGAAAAAAUUUGCUAUAUUCGAGAACGCGUUGGAAUUAUUAAGCAAAUUCAUUAAGGAGGAGUGUUGGAAUUAAUGCAUCAAUGUUUAGUCUUCCGAAAUUGUCUCUUAGAUUUUCAAGAAUUCUCUUUAGAAUUUCGCAGUACAUGAAUCUAGUAAAUUGUGAUACAUCUAUCUAGUUAUUUAUGAAAGAUUUUUUAUUUUCUAUUUUGAGUAGUAUAAAUAGUGAUGUAGUUGAUGAUUGUAAUCAUCUCAAGUGGCCUUAAGUAGCCUAUAAUAAACUUGAGCAUUCUCUAAAGAUACUAUUUCCUUUCA